UGAAUAAAUGUCAUAUCAUCAAGUCGUGACGAAUGAGUGCACGCACAGUGGCUGUAGGGGGAGCCACUGAGCCAGCACGUCAGCUGCUCCGGUCAGUUCGAAAUUCAAAACACAACAGAAAUCUCCCGUCUUGCACCGCGGCUCAAAAAGCCUCUGACGGUUAUUUUAAUUUAACAUAAAAAAUAAAUAAAAAUCGCAGAAUGUAUAUUAUUCAAAACUGUGGACACGAGUGGGUUGCGGUGGUCGGCAGGCACAUUUUGGUAUGAAUGAAAUAUUGCUACUUGCACGUUUAAAUUUCUAUUUAUUUUUUGUGUGUGUGACGGCUGCGUGGGUAGCAGAGGAACAACUGCCGUUGGCGCCACUUUCAAAUCCUCCACUGACACAGAAUGAGAGCCCGUCUUCAAAUACAUUUACGCACUAUUUCGCUUUUUCAUAAAUACUGUAAAACCAGGAUUAUCUUAACAUUACUUCUCCUUUGGAUAUUCUUUUUCUUCCGAAGGUAAGAGUUUCUUUUUCCGCCCCAAAUUUGAUUAAUAAAGUAUUUAGUCUUUAUCUUUUUAUUUUCAUUUGUAGGUAAGUAACUUAAAAGUGUUUACGUGUUAUGGCCGGUAGCUGCUUUGUAAGCGUGGAUGUGCUGUAAGUAAAGGCUUUGUGCGAGGGACGCUUAGCAGACAAAGUAAAGUGCGGCUUGAAACAAAAGGCUGCGUGACUGCACCGUGUCAGACACUGUGCGCGUCCGUUUCUGCACGGAGACAAAGUCAUCAUAAUAUAGUAUCUUAGCAAAUGUUCAAAUAUAGCUUAUUGUUAACAGUGUAGAACUUAUAUUUCUUUACAAAAGAGUUUAAGUGAUAAGUGGAAAAGUAGAGGAAGGGGACACUCCCCUAGUCACAGCCUCCUCCCCAGCAACCACGCCAGCCCACUCGGCUGCACACUGUGUCUAAAUACGACGCUAAUCUCGCCUUCAAGCACAAUAAACAAACAAAUAAAUAAACUAUACUUAAGUCAAAACGCCCCGUUAAACAGAGGAAACAGUGAGAAAGUCCAGGCUCGGAAAACGCAGUGACUCAGCAGUUUCUCACCUGCGCAGCCUGUCAUCCUCUCGUCACAGCGGGGACUGCGCACUUUAUUACGGGCAGUUAUCGAAAUAUGUGCGGCUGCCUUUGACUUUGACUUUACUCAAAGACCAGUCAACUCUGAUUAUGUAUUAGUCGGUUUUUAGAACAAUGAAACUAAUUUUCAUAAAUGUGUUAAUAUAAAGCUUUAGGCAACAUGACAAAUAGAUGAUUUGUAGGCAAACUAUAGGCAAAGUUUUUUUCUUUUUAAGCGUGUCGUUUACAAACUGAUAGAAAAACGAGGUAAAAAGCGGAGCUCCCACACAGACCGCUGGACUCUCCCCCAGAAUGACCGAGAAACGGACCCUGACAUUAAAAAGUCUCCCUCUUACUGUUCAACGUUUUUAGGUAAGACCCUGGUUGUGUAUGUGCUGCACACCAUCAUCUGAGAGUGAAGUAACAUUUCUAAUGUCUUCACUUUUUUUUUUAUAGAUUAAAUCUUGUUUGGUGAUUUAUAAAGAAAAGGUCACGAUGGCUGUGGAGCCAUCCAAGGAGAUAGUGUUUGCUUAUUCUGACAGAAACUGCUGCUCACAAAAAGGAGAAUAUUUUUGCAGAAUAGUUGGCAUCACUUUGUUCUAAAUAUUACUUUGUUUCAACAACUCAGUACUUUUAAUCCAUAAAACAUCAAAAAAUACAAAGUAUUAAAUUAAAGUGGCAACAAGUGACACCUUUAAAACCGAAGUUGAAUCUUUUUUGUUUAAGAAGACUGUAAUGACAGAAUUUUGUUUCCUGUCGACUGAAACAAUUAAUUCAAUGCAUCACAUUCAAAAAUGUAUCAGCAACAUUUAGGGAAACUCUGGAAAUAAUUAUAAUUCUUUUAUUACAUUCAUUAGAGCUUCACUGAAUGUGUUCAGUCCGAACCAUCACAAAGUGAAGUGGCCCAAAUUGAAAAGCUAAAAUUUCUUGACUGUAUUAUUUUAUAUUUACACUGAUUUAAAUCCAUAAGGUAAAUUUUAAUAAAGUUUAAUACUGCAGCUGUGGAUAUUUUUCACCAUUCCUUAUAGCAUCAGAUAUUUUAUCUGAUCCAUAAAGAUCUUCAGCUGUUAUGCAGCAGGUCAAAUAUUCACGCAUGCAAUAUAAAAAUUGUAAAAGAAAAAAAAACAUAAUUCCAGGAACAACAGAACUUUAAACUUCAAGAUGUGAAUUGAUGUGGAAAUAUUUUCCAAUGUGUCAUAUCCAGACUUACACAGCAGAACUGAGUAAACAAAUCUUUAAACUCUUCUUUUUUGUCUUUGCCACAAACACAUCGAGGGCCUCAGCCUGCAGAAAUGUUAGGAAAUGGAUUAAGAUCAUUUCGGGAUGAUUCUAUUAAAAUUCGAUUGACAUAGACGUGAAGAAACCUCGUGUGGCUUAGCCAAUUUGAAUUCUUCUCCUGGACUGAUGGUGUGGUGUUAGCCAUUAUCAUCACCUGUAAGUGAUUAGAGUAAGACUGCUUCAUGUGAAUGGAAAACGAGCAUACUUUGUAUUUUGGGGCAUCCCUGGAGCUUAACUGUGACACCCACUGUUACACCGAGUAAUGCUGGAGGAGCUGCUCCAUUAGAGCCUGGUCUAGGAUUUAUUUCAAGUUAGCGCCGGGCCUUUUUCUUAAUGUGCCCAUGUUUUAUUUUUCUGUGUGUGUAAAAGUGCGUAGAACAGAAAGAGAGGUAGGCAGGGCCACCUCCUUGUAAAACAGUGUAGUUUGAGAGCAGCACUUUCAGCAGUGUGAGUCUUCCUCCUUCCUGUCGACUGCCAUGUCACGGCCAUAUGAGAACAUGAGAAAAUAGAGUCAGGCAAACACCGAGCGUAGCUCUCAGUGCGAUUACAUUUGUGCAUUAAUACUAGUCCAUGUGUGUGUUUCUGUACUCGGCUUCCUUUGCGUGUCGCAGCACAGAGAAGCUGGUGGCUCACUGUACUUACCCCACUCGUGUGUUUGCUGUGGUUUCUGUUUUUUAUUUCGCAACAUUAGCCUAUAAAGUAGGCUCCUCAAACUGUGUGUGAAUGCAUAAAGAGCUUCCUCUCAGAGCCACACUAUUCUUCAUUUUCUAUUCCUCCCUCUCCUCCCUCCCUGUCUUCUCAGGCUUUCUUUCAGUCUGACAGUGGAGCAGCUUGCCAGGCGUACAGGCUCAAUGCUCCGCGCUGCGCAGCAGCCCCUUUGCCUCGCACAAAUAAAUUUUUUACGUGCAAACGGGAGCUCCGACAGACCCCUCGCUUUACACCUGUCUCACACACACACUGGGGAGCGUCCACAUAUUUUUUUUAGAUUUUUCGCCGCCCCCGAAAAUGUCGAUUUGUAUUGUAGAAAGUGACUGCUAGGGAAAAAGGCUGCAGCCCUGUAGGUUUUUAUGCCUACUGAGUCUUCUCACUGUCUCAGUGUGCGUAGCUAGGGCUCAGCGAGGCAGCACUGAGAAGGACUGGGACAUGCACAUACACAUAGCUAGAAGGUGAAAGGCCAGCAAGGAAGGAUGAGGGGACACGAAGUUGUUGGUUUUGUUUGUUUGUUUGUGUUUGUUUGUUUGUUUGUCUGUUUUUUUUGGGGGGAGGGGGUAUUUUUGGGACUGGGACCAAAACCUGACCAACCCCCUUCCUCCCCGGACACCCCCUUUUACUACGAACAGAAGCAGGAGCAACCAGAAACCCCAAACAGGCCUUUUUUCAGCUCUCUCUGUCACUGUAGUAGGCUGGCUCUCUCCCUCUGAUGGGUGUUUGUGUAGAGCUGCUGUUGGGACUCUCCUUGGUUUUUACUUUUAUUUGACAAAUCUAGUCAUCCUGUGUGUCUGUGUGUGCCUCUGUUGUUCCUGUUUUAUGUUAUUUUUGAGGACUAGUUCUGAUUGUUGGUCUGUGGAUUGUGACAAUGUAUCCACACAAACAGGCAGAAGAAGGUGUGAGUUUACUUUCAGUGUUCUUAGUCAGUAGUUAAGCUAGUUAGCUCCUCCAUCAUCAGGUUAACAUCUCAGCAGCAAAUGUGUUUAAAGCGUGACCCUCUGCAGGGCUGCAGGUAAGAUGCUGUUUUACACUCUUGGUAUAAAAAUACACAUUUGGUUCAGUGGAGAUUCAUUAAAAUUGGGAUGCAAGUAUUUUAAUAAAUCACUUUCUUUUUUUACUUUCAGCUUUUUGAACUUGAUGUAUCUUGAAAAGUCAGACAUCUGGCGGAUGUUUAUAUUGUGUUUCUUUUUGGUGAAAGACUUCUUCUAAAAGCUGCAUGUAAAUGUCGUUUUUCAUUUUCUAUCUUUGUUUACAUUAGAGUAGGUAGCUUGUUACGACUCAGCGUGUGCUGUUUGUGGUUUGCCUUUAAGGAUAUAGUCGGGGUAAGUACAGUCAUACUUUUUAUUUUAUUUCAGUUGCUUAAAUAAUCUUUGAUUUUAUUUUAUUUUUUGUAGUAUGUUUCAGGUGGAAAUCAUCAGAAAAUAAAAUGUGUGGAUUAUUUUAUCAUUAAAUACUUUGUGGUGAAACAUUCUUGAAUGUUAUCUUUCUUCAAAAAUAUCUGAGCUAUAUGUCGUCGUCCCCCUCCCCUCCCCCAACUGCUUCCUCUUUUUCUCCACUUCCUCCAUUUUCUCUGUUUUUAAAAGAAAACCCUACAGAUGAACGGAAUCAAAAAUUCAACAUUAUUGUACGUGGCCGUCUUCUUCAGAGAAAGGUCACAUACAUUUCAGUUUUGUCUUUGCCCUCCCGCCCCCGUGGACAUGCACCAGCCUGAGUCAUGGACUCGGUGUGUCCAGGGUGCGCUCUAGCAGCACAUCAUGUUUUGCAGAUGUGCUGAAUCGCUUCAAAUCAUCAUGUGCUGCCACCGUGAGCCCUGGGAUCCUCAGCAUCACACUGCUCCUAGUCCAUUUUCCUCCAGCUUAGACUUUGAUUGCAAUAAUUUCUGUUACUUGUCUUAAAGCUAUGAACCACAUGUGGGUGAAUGAAUGCAUGAGUCGCUUUCCUGUUGUCUGAUAGCAGCUGGAUGCAUGUCAUUAUCUGAGUAUCACUGGUUUAUUUUUCUGUCGAGAUCUGUGAAAAGAAUUGCACUGACAUGAAUAGUGAGCAGCAGUAGUGAGCACAAACUCACAUUUAAUUCUGUUUCAAGCUGAAAUCCUUUUGUCUCCUGACAACAAACUAAUUGCACCAGUGAGCUGAAAACAGCAUUUCCUACUUAUAGAGAACAUAAUGAGGUUAGAAAAUGAGGACGAAUGAUUUAGAUAAUUUCCUUAUUUAGGGUCGACAGCUUAGACACGUUCUAUUUAAAACAAACAAA